rnacentral:rRNA from 1 species
AUGAACGCUGGCGGCGUGCCUCAUACAUGCAAGUCGAGCGCACAGACGAGGAGCUUGCUCCUCUGACGUUAGCGGCGGACGGGUGAGUAACACGUGGAUAACCUACCUAUAAGACUGGGAUAACUUCGGGAAGCCGGAGCUAAUACCGGAUAAUAUAUUGAACCGCAUGGUUCAAUAGUGAAAGACGGUUUUGCUGUCACUUAUAGAUGGAUCCGCGCCGCAUUAGCUAGUUGGUAAGGUAACGGCUUACCAAGGCGACGAUGCGUAGCCGACCUGAGAGGGUGAUCGGCCACACUGGAACUGAGACACGGUCCAGACUCCUACGGGAGGCAGCAGUAGGGAAUCUUCCGCAAUGGGCGAAAGCCUGACGGAGCAACGCCGCGUGAGUGAUGAAGGUCUUCGGAUCGUAAAACUCUGUUAUUAGGGAAGAACAAAUGUGUAAGUAACUAUGCACGUCUUGACGGUACCUAAUCAGAAAGCCACGGCUAACUACGUG